CCCUUAGAUGCUCUGGGCCGCACGCGCGCUACACUGGUCGAUGCAACGAGUUUCUUUCCUUGGCCGACAGGCCUGGGCAAUCUUUGAACAUCGAUCGUGAUCGGGAUAGAUUCUUGUAAUUUUUGAUCUUAAACGAGGAAUUCCUAGUAAACGCAAGUCAUCAGCUUGCAUUGAUUACGUCCCUGCCCUUUGUACACACCGCCCGUCGCACCUACCGAUUGAAUGGUCCGGUGAAAUCUCCGGACUGGCGUGAGUCGGAGCAAUCUGACAAACACCGGAAAGUUGAUUGAACCUUACCAUUUAGAGGAAGGUGAAGUCGUAACA
rnacentral:rRNA from 1 species